rnacentral:rRNA from 1 species
UGACGGUACCAUUCAAGAAAGCCACGGCUAACUACGUGCCAGCAGCCGCGGUAAUACGUAGGUGGCGAGCGUUAUCCGGAUUUAUUGGGCGUAAAGGGUGCGUAGGCGGUAUGUUAAGUAUAAAAUAAAAGCCCGAAGCUUAACUUCGGUUCGUUUUAUAAACUGGCAAACUAGAGUACAGUAGAGGCAAAUGGAAUUCCUAGUGUAGUGGUAAAAUGCGUAGAUAUUAGGAGGAACACCAGUGGCGAAGGCGAUUUGCUGGGCUGUAACUGACGCUGAGGCACGAAAGCGUGGGGAGCAAAUAGGAUUAGAUACCCUAGUAGUCCACGCCGUAAACGAUGAGUACUAAGUGUCGGGAAACCGGUGCCGCAGCAAACGCAAUAAGUAUUCCACCUGGGGAGUACGUUCGCAAGAAUGAAACUCAAAGGAAUUGACGGGGACCCGCACAAGCGGUGGAGCAUGUGGUUUAAUUCGAAGCAACGCGAAGAACCUUACCAAGUCUUGACAUCCCAUUGACCGGGACUUAACCGUCCUUUCUCUUCGGAGCAAUGGAGACAGGUGGUGCAUGGUUGUCGUCAGCUCGUGUCGUGAGAUGUUGGGUUAAGUCCCGCAACGAGCGCAACCCUUGUCCUUAGUAGCCAGCAUUAAGAUGGGCACUCUAGGGAGACUGCCCGGGAUAACCGGGAGGAAGGUGGGGAUGACGUCAAAUCAUCAUGCCCCUUAUGAUUUGGGCUACACACGUGCUACAAUGGCGUAAACAAAGGGAAGCGAGACUGUGAAGUUAAGCAAAUCUCAUAAAUAACGUCUCAGUUCGGAUUGUAGUCUGCAACUCGACUACAUGAAGCUGGAAUCGCUAGUAAUCGCGGAUCAGAAUGCCGCGGUGAAUACGUUCCCGGGUCUUGCACUCACCGCCCGUCA